CUGCUUUCCGUCCACUGUGCCAUCGAGCUGGUAAACAAAUACCCUGCUGGCCCAUGAAGGCCAUUUGCUUGCUAGCCAUUCAAGGAGGGGGAUGUUCUGGCUUUAGGAUAGAUUUAGGGGAGCAAGCCGGUGACCACUGCGCCCUCCAGUGAUCUCUGAUGAUAUGCGGGGAUAAUGGGUUACAAAGACAGACAUUAAUAAGUUUCUGUAGAAGUGUAUGUUUUGGUGGACAGCGUUCCUGGAAGAGAGAUCUUAUACUUGCGAAGUGCAUCCUAAGUAAGAGCCUUCAACAAAAGUUUCAUGAGAAGAAAGAAAGCUGAAGAGGAACUGGUGGCUGGACGGCCCUUAUGACUUUGCCAAUUUUCUCUUCUCGCUGCCUGUCUUCCUCCCCAAAUAUGGAGCUAAAUUAGAAGGUAUGUAAGUGUUUCCCUCUCAUAUGAGGCUGAAAUACAGGGUUCUAACUUAUCUCCUGGGUA
rnacentral:lncRNA from 12 species